ACCUCUUAUCAUUCGCAACACAGAAGUUAAGCUCUUAUUCGCUGAUGGUACUGCGAGUUCGCGGGAGAGUAAGUUGUUGCCAGGG
rnacentral:rRNA from 1 species